AGGAGAGUAGUACAGUGGUAGUACUUACGAUCUCGCGGUAGGCCCUACUUACUUAAGAAUCCGUAGGGCACAGGUUCGAUUCCCGUCUCCCCCG